rnacentral:rRNA from 1 species
UACGUAGGUGGCAAGCGUUGUUCGGAAUUAUUGGGCGUAAAGGGCGCGUAGGCGGUUUGUUAAGUCGGUCGUGAAACCUCCAGGCUCAACCUGGAGACGCCACCCGAUACUGCUAUAGCUUGAGUCCGGUAGGGGAGCGUGGAAUUCCUGGUGUAGCGGUGAAAUGCGCAGAUAUCAGGAGGAACACCAGCGGCGAAGGCGGCGCUCUGGGCCGGUACUGACACUGAGGAGCGAAAGCGUGGGGAGCAAACAGG